rnacentral:rRNA from 1 species
AUUGAACGCUGGCGGCAUGCCUUACACAUGCAAGUCGAACGGCAGCACGGGAGCAAUCCUGGUGGCGAGUGGCGAACGGGUGAGUAAUAUACCGGAACGUGCCCAGUCGUGGGGGAUAACGUAGCGAAAGCUACGCUAAUACCGCAUACGAUCUAUGGAUGAAAGCGGGGGAUCGCAAGACCUCGCGCGAUUGGAGCGGCCGAUAUCAGAUUAGGUAGUUGGUGAGGUAAAGGCUCACCAAGCCGACGAUCUGUAGCUGGUCUGAGAGGACGACCAGCCACACUGGGACUGAGACACGGCCCAGACUCCUACGGGAGGCAGCAGUGGGGAAUUUUGGACAAUGGGCGCAAGCCUGAUCCAGCAAUGCCGCGUGCAGGAUGAAGGCCUCGG